rnacentral:rRNA from 1 species
AGUAAUGUCUGGGAAACUGCCUGAUGGAGGGGGGUAACUACUGGAAACGGUAGCUAAUACCGCAUAAUGUCGCAAGACCAAAGUGGGGGACCUUCGGGGCCUCAUGCCAUAAGAUGUGCCCAGAUGGGAUUAGCUAGUAGGUGGGGUAACGGCUCACCUAGGCGACGAUCCCUAGCUGGUCUGAGAGGAUGACCAGCCACACUGGAACUGAGACACGGUCCAG